AUACGUAGGGUGCAAGCGUUAAUCGGAAUUACUGGGCGUAAAGCGUGCGCAGGCGGUUUUGUAAGACAGAGGUGAAAUCCCCGGGCUCAACCUGGGAACUGCCUUUGUGACUGCAAGGCUAGAGUACGGCAGAGGGGGAUGGAAUUCCGCGUGUAGCAGUGAAAUGCGUAGAUAUGCGGAGGAACACCGAUGGCGAAGGCAAUCCCCUGGGCCUGUACUGACGCUCAUGCACGAAAGCGUGGGGAGCAAACAGGAUUAGAUACCCUGGUAGUCCACGCCCUAAACGAUGUCAACUGGUUGUUGGGUCUUCAUUGACUCAGUAACGAAGCUAACGUGUGAAGUUGACCGCCUGGGGAGUACGGCCGCAAGGUUGAAACUCAAAUGAAUUGACGGGG
rnacentral:rRNA from 1 species